rnacentral:rRNA from 1 species
GUGGACGAACCUCUGGUGUACCUGUUGUGGCGCCAGCUGCAUCGCAGGGUAGCUAUGUUCGGAUGAGAUAAGCGCUGAAAGCAUCUAAGCACGAAACUCACCUCAAGAUGAGAUUUCUUUUAAGGGCCGUGGAAGACUACCACGUUGAUAGGCUACAGGUGUAAAGACAGUAAUGUCAAAGCCGAGUAGUACUAAUUACCCGUAGACUUAUAGUC